UGACUACGUCUUUAUAUUCUGUUUAUUUUUAAAUAAUGCUGAGUGAACAAAAUCAGCAUAUUGUGUUUCUGCAGCUUUAACCCUCUGACCGGCUGGGGAGUUCUGCAGGGUACUAAGGAAUAAAAGUUCCCGCUGUUGGUAAAGAGCCCGUGGCAAGCAGUAAUCAGCGCUCUCAAAAGCAGUGAACAUGCCUCAUCUAAGGGAUACCCGGACCGAAUCUGGAGACAAACUGGCAACCUAAACCAAACCAAUGCAGAAGAGAAAAUGACGGGAAGAGCUAGAGCCAGAGCAAGAGGAAGACCUCGAGGACAGGAGACUGCUAUUCCUUCUGUAGGAGCUGCAUCUGUAAGUUGGUUCUCUUUUUAAUUAGCAUGGCUGUGCUUUGGAAUGGCAUACCUCAGCUGCUUCCUAUUAUUGCUUCAUCUAUAGAUGUGGUGUCAGGUAUACAGUUGCAUUAAAUGUUUUUGAUUAAAUAAAUAUUUGUGUGGUUGCA
rnacentral:lncRNA from 1 species